UAGGCUGCAGUGUUUGUGUAAUUUACAUGAUGAUUCAUAAAAAGCCUUCAAUGGUUUACAUGAAUUAACAAUAAUUAAAAUUUAAGUUCAAUUUCCAUUCAAAAUAAUUUUAUAUUUUUCAUCUCCCAUUCAUUCAUAUUCAACAUUUUUCGAAGUAGUCAUUUUAUCACGCCAGAACCAAUUUUUGUCCAUCCCCCCAAACUAUAUUCAUUAUUAAGAGUUUCAACACUCAAAUAUUUUUGCAAAAAAGUGAUUGGAUCAUUUCAUCAUAAAUUGUCAUGUCAUUUUCCUAUCCAUAACUCCACAUGCUUCUGUUCUUGUAUACAAUGUGAUAAAUAUAUUUAUUAUUCUUCAUGUUAAAAUGCCAUUUUUUAUUAGCUAAUACAAGUGUGUUAAUUUACUCUAACAUGGCUGAGCGGCACAGUUUUUUGAAUGUCACCCUCUCGGCUAGACCAAUAAAAAAUCGAUAGUUUAAACGACAAUGAAUUGAAUCUACAUCAAGUUAUUA
rnacentral:lncRNA from 1 species